AGUAGUUUGAUCAUGGCUCAAGAACGAACGCUGGCGGCAUGCCUAACACAUGCAAGUCGAACGAAGCCUUCGGGCUUAGUGGCGCACGGGUGCGUAACGCGUGGGAAUCUGCCCUUGGGUUCGGAAUAACAGUUAGAAAUGACUGCUAAUACCGAAUGACGUCUUCGGACCAAAGAUUUAUCGCCCAAGGAUGAGCCCGCGUCGGAUUAGCUAGUUGGUGAGGUAAAGGCUCACCAAGGCGACGAUCCGUAGCUGGUCUGAGAGGAUGAUCAGCCACACUGGGACUGAGACACGGCCCAGACUCCUACGGGAGGCAGCAGUGGGGAAUAUUGGACAAUGGGCGAAAGCCUGAUCCAGCAAUGCCGCGUGAGUGAUGAAGGCCUUAGGGUUGUAAAGCUCUUUUACCCGGGAUGAUAAUGACAGUACCGGGAGAAUAAGCCCCGGCUAACUCCGUG
rnacentral:rRNA from 1 species